CCUACGGGAGGCAGCAGUAAGGAAUAUUGGUCAAUGGACGAAAGUCUGAACCAGCCAUGCCGCGUGAAGGAUGAAGGUCCUCUGGAUUGUAAACUUCUUUUAUAUGGGACGAAAAAAGGGAAUUCUUUCUCACUUGACGGUACCAUAGGAAUAAGCACCGGCUAACUCCGUGCCAGCAGCCGCGGUAAUACGGAGGGUGCAAGCGUUAUCCGGAUUCACUGGGUUUAAAGGGUGCGUAGGUGGGUAGGUAAGUCAGUGGUGAAAUCUCCGAGCCUAACUCGGAAACUGCCAUUGAUACUAUUUAUCUUGAAUAUCCUGGAGGUGAGCGGAAUAUGUCAUGUAGCGGUGAAAUGCUUAGAUAUGACAUAGAACACCAAUUGCGAAGGCAGCUCACUACGGGAUUAUUGACACUGAGGCACGAAAGCGUGGGGAUCAAACAGGAUUAGAUACCCUGGUAGUCCACGCCCUAAACGAUGGAUACUCGACAUACGCGAUAUACUGUGUGUGUCUGAGCGAAAGCAUUAAGUAUCCCACCUGGAAGUACGACCGCAAGGUUGAAACUCAAAGGAAUUGACGG
rnacentral:rRNA from 1 species